rnacentral:rRNA from 1 species
GAUGAACGCUAGCGGCAGGCUUAACACAUGCAAGUCGAGGGGCAGCAUGAUGAAACUUUCGGGUUUCAUUGAUGGCGACCGGCGCAAGGGUGCGUAACGCGUGAGCAACUUGCCCUUAUCAGGGGGAUAACCGGUGGAAACGCCGACUAAUACCCCAUAGCAUCACUUUAAGGCAUCUUUUAGUGAUUAAAGAAUUUCGGAUAAGGAUAGGCUCGCGUGACAUUAGCUAGAUGGCGGGGUAACGGCCCACCAUGGCGACGAUGUCUAGGGGUUCUGAGAGGAAGGUCCCCCACACUGGAACUGAGACACGGUCCAGACUCCUACGGGAGGCAGCAGUGAGGAAUAUUGGUCAAUGGCCGAGAGGCUGAACCAGCCAUGCCGCGUGAAGGUCACGGCCCUAUGGGUCUUAAACUUCUUUUGUAAGGGAGCAAUAAGGUUCACGUGUGGACUGAUGAGUAGUACCUUACGAAUAAGCAUCGGCUAACUCCGUGCCAG